rnacentral:rRNA from 1 species
GACGAACGCUGGCGGCGUGCUUAACACAUGCAAGUCGAACGGAAAGGCCCUGCUUUUGUGGGGUGCUCGAGUGGCGAACGGGUGAGUAACACGUGAGUAACCUGCCCUUGACUUUGGGAUAACUUCAGGAAACUGGGGCUAAUACCGGAUAGGAGCUCCUGCUGCAUGGUGGGGGUUGGAAAGUUUCGGCGGUUGGGGAUGGACUCGCGGCUUAUCAGCUUGUUGGUGGGGUAGUGGCUUACCAAGGCUUUGACGGGUAGCCGGCCUGAGAGGGUGACCGGCCACAUUGGGAUUGGGAUACGGCCCAGACGCCUACGGGAGGCAGGAGUGGGGAAUAUUGCACAAUGGGCGGAAGCCUGAUGCAGCAACGCCGCGUGCGGGAUGACGGCCUUCGGGUUGUAAACCGCUUUCGCCUGUGACGAAGCGUGAGGGACGGUAAUGGGUAAAGAAGCACCGGCUAACUACGU